UACCUUUUGUAUAAUGGGUCAGCGACUUAUAUUCUGUAGCAAGGUUAACCGAAUAGGGGAGCCGAAGGGAAACCGAGUCUUAACUGGGCGUUAAGUUGCAGGGUAUAGACCCGAAACCCGGUGAUCUAGCCAUGGGCAGGUUGAAGGUUGGGUAACACUAACUGGAGGACCGAACCGACUAAUGUUGAAAAAUUAGCGGAUGACUUGUGGCUGGGGGUGAAAGGCCAAUCAAACCGGGAGAUAGCUGGUUCUCCCCGAAAGCUAUUUAGGUAGCGCCUCGUGAAUUCAUCUCCGGGGGUAGAGCACUGUUUCGGCAAGGGGGUCAUCCCGACUUACCAACCCGAUGCAAACUGCGAAUACCGGAGAAUGUUAUCACGGGAGACACACGGCGGGUGCUAACGUCCGUCGUGAAGAGGGAAACAACCCAGACCGCCAGCUAAGGUCCCAAAGUCAUGGUUAAGUGGGAAACGAUGUGGGAAGGCCCAGACAGCCAGGAUGUUGGCUUAGAAGCAGCCAUCAUUUAAAGAAAGCGUAAUAGCUCACUGGUCGAGUCGGCCUGCGCGGAAGAUGUAACGGGGCUAAACCAUG
rnacentral:rRNA from 1 species